GAGAGUUCAAGAGUACGUGAAACCGUCUAGCGGUAAAGAGAGGGGAUCUCGAAGUUCUGAGGGGGACUCAACCUUGGUGGUGCUUGGCCUGGGCGUAUUUGAUCAGCAAUGACUUUGCGUUUAGUCCCGAGUACCUCCCGGACGCACUUUCUCCUCAGUUGACGGCAGGAACUGUUAGGAGCGAACUGAAGGCCCAGGGUGAAGUUGUUGGUUAUGCUGGCAGCCCUUGGUGUCCUAGCUUCGCAUCUGACAGGUAUGUAAGCAAACUCGUAUAGCGAGCAAUUCUCUAUUGCGGUUUGCAUCUCUCUGCCGAGUAGGUCGGUGUCUCCUCUCACCCGUCUUGAAACACGGACCAU
rnacentral:rRNA from 1 species